GACGAACCGAGCGAACGUUGUUCGGAAUCACUGGGCUUAAAGGGCGCGUAGGCGGGCUGCCAAGUCUGGGGUGAAAUUCUCCGGCUCAACCGGAGUAGUGCCUCGGAUACUGGCGGUCUCGAGGGAGGUAGGGGCGUGCGGAACUGUGGGUGGAGCGGUGAAAUGCGUUGAUAUCCACAGGAACUCCGGUGGCGAAGGCGGCACGCUGGACCUUUUCUGACGCUGAGGCGCGAAAGCCAGGGGAGCGAACGGG
rnacentral:rRNA from 1 species